rnacentral:rRNA from 1 species
AUUGAACGCUGGCGGCAUGCCUUACACAUGCAAGUCGAACGGUAACAGGUCUUCGGAUGCUGACGAGUGGCGAACGGGUGAGUAAUACAUCGGAACGUGCCUAGUGGUGGGGGAUAACUACUCGAAAGAGUGGCUAAUACCGCAUGAGAUCUACGGAUGAAAGCAGGGGAUCGCAAGACCUUGUGCUACUAGAGCGGCCGAUGGCAGAUUAGGUAGUUGGUGGGAUAAAAGCUUACCAAGCCGACGAUCUGUAGCUGGUCUGAGAGGACGAUCAGCCACACUGGGACUGAGACACGGCCCAGACUCCUACGGGAGGCAGCAGUGGGGAAUUUUGGACAAUGGGCGCAAGCCUGAUCCAGCAAUGCCGCGUGCAGGAUGAAGGCCUUAGGGUUGUAAACUGCUUUUGUACGGAACGAAAAGCCCUGGGUUAAUACCCUGGGGUCAUGACGGUACCGUAAGAAUAAGCACCGGCUAACUACGUGCCAGCAGCCGCGGUAAUAC